CAUUUUGUGAUGAUAAGAAUGAAUUUCUGCCCUAUCAACUUUCGAUGGUAAUGUAGUGGAUUACCAUGGUGAUGACGGGUAACGGGGAAUUAGGGUUUGAUUCCGGAGAAAAGGCCUGAGAGACGGCCAUUACUUCUAAGGAAGGCAGCAGGCGCGUAAAUUACCCAAUCCUAAUACGGGGAGGUAGUGACAAGAAAUAUUGAUAUUGGACCCAAAGGGUACAAUGAUUGAAAUGAGAACAAUAUAAAAAACUUAACGACUAACAAUUGGAGGGCAAGUCUGGUGCCAGCAGCCGCGGUAAUUCCAGCUCCAAGAGUGUAUAUUAAAGUUGUUGCGGUUAAAAGCUCGUAGUUGAAUUUCUGAAAAUAAUCUUGUGAUUGAUUUAACCGUCAUGAACAAAAAAUUGUUUACUAUACUUGAUAGAUGGAACA
rnacentral:rRNA from 1 species